AUUGAACGCUGGCGGCAGGCUUAACACAUGCAAGUCGAGCGAGCGGCGGACGGGUGCGUAAUGUCUGGGAAACUGCCUGAUGGAGGGGGAUAACUACUGGAAACGGUAUCUAAUACCGCAUACCAUCAGAUGUGCCCAGAUGGGAUUAGCUAGUAGGGGGGGUAAUGGCUCACCUAGGGGACGAUCCCUAGCGGGUGUGAGAGGAUGACCAGCCAAACUGGAACUGAGACAGGGUCCAGACUCCUACGGGGGGCAGAAGGGGGGAAUAUGGAACAAGGGGCGCAAGCCUGAGGCAGCCAUGCCGCGUGUGUGAAGAAGGCCUUCGGGUUGUAAAGCACUUUCAGCGAGGAGGCGUUACUCGCAGAAGAAGCACCGGCUAACCCCGUGCCAGCCGCCGCGGUAAAC
rnacentral:rRNA from 1 species